rnacentral:rRNA from 1 species
UACAGAGGUCUCAAGCGUUGUUCGGAUUCAUUGGGCGUAAAGGGUGCGUAGGCGGUGUCGUAAGUCGGAUGUGAAAUCCCGGGGCUUAACUUCGGAACUGCAUUCGAUACUGCGAUACUCGAGGACUCGAGAGGAGAUUGGAAUUCACGGUGUAGCAGUGAAAUGCGUAGAUAUCGUGAGGAAGACCAGUGGCAAAGGCGGAUCUCUGGAGAGUUCCUGACGCUGAGGCACGAAGGCCAGGGGAGCAAACGGG